AGAGUUUGAUCAUGGCUCAGAACGAACGCUGGCGGCAUGCCUAACACAUGCAAGUCGAACGAGACCUUCGGGUCUAGUGGCGCACGGGUGCGUAACGCGUGGGAAUCUGCCCUAGGGUGCGGAAUAACUCGGAGAAAUCCGUGCUAAUACCGCAUAAUGUCUUCGGACCAAAGAUUUAUCGCCCUGGGAUGAGCCCGCGUAAGAUUAGCUAGUUGGUGGGGUAAAGGCCUACCAAGGCGACGAUCUUUAGCUGGUCUGAGAGGAUGAUCAGCCACACUGGGACUGAGACACGGCCCAGACUCCUACGGGAGGCAGCAGUGGGGAAUAUUGGACAAUGGGCGAAAGCCUGAUCCAGCAAUGCCGCGUGAGUGAUGAAGGCCCUAGGGUUGUAAAGCUCUUUUACCCGGGAUGAUAAUGACAGUACCGGAGAAUAGU
rnacentral:rRNA from 1 species